rnacentral:rRNA from 1 species
UACGUAGGGUGCAAGCGUUAAUCGGAAUUCCUGGGCGUAAAGCGUGCGCAGGCGGUUGUGCAAGACCGAUGUGAAAUCCCCGGGCUUAACCUGGGAAUGGCAUUGGUGACUGCACGGCUAGAGUGUGUCAGAGGGGGGUAGAAUUCCACGUGUAGCAGCGAAAUGCGUAGAGAUGUGGAGGAAUACCGAUGGCGAAGGCAGCCCCCUGGGAUAACACUGACGCUCAUGCACGAAAGCGUGGGGAGCAAACAGG